GUUGAAUUUAACUGCUUUGCUUUUUUGUAAUUUAAGAUUUAAUUUUUUAUUUGGUAGUGGUUUUUAAUCCCAUAUCUGGUCUCUUGCUUGAUAGUUCCAUAGCUAAAAAUGUCAAUAGACUGCUCUUUUGUCUUUGCAAUGUAAUUCAGGUGAGUUUUCAUAACUUUUCAUUACAAGGGCUACUACUAGCAAAGUUGACAGAGAAUGACAGGACUCUAUGGAUGAUAUAGAGCAAAAGGUGCAAUUUAUGUGGGUGUUAGGAAUCAGGGAGCUGGUGUUGGGGUGUGUUGACACCAGGAGGAAGGUUCAGAGUGCAAAAAAAGAGCUGUCCAGGGAUGCCAGUUUGUAUUAGAGGAUGAAUUCUGCUGGCUUUUUUCUUGUAAACUUUCACAAACCCAUUUGGGCCCAGAACAGAGCCUAGUAAAACCACACUUUGAUAGGGAUCACACUGCUGUCUGCCUCAGCCCUUCCGUUCUCACCUGCCACUCAUGUCAUUGAACAUGGUUUCUUCAGCCGAGCUUUGCUCCAUUUUUGUGAAUACUUUUUAUUUUGGAUCCUCUGCUAAUGUUUCAUGUUUCCAUGCUUGACCUUUGUACAUUAAGAAUGGCCAUGACUGGAAUUGGACAGGAUUGUUUUUGAGGAAGACAUCUGAUUGCCACAGUGCUGUUAGCGCUACAAAGAGCAGAGUGUUAAAACAGUCAACUGAUAUUUAACAGACUCUUGAUAUUUAUCAUAAUGACAAACUGGUUUUUCAUAUCUUGUAUUUUUGGUGCCAGUGAUUAUGGCUUAAAGGGAGACAGGGUGACCAAGUACUUCUCAAUAUACAUGGCAAGCACCUACCCUGCCAAGUCAAGUCUGUGCUCUCUCUAACAUCUGUGUGUUUACAAGUAUAGUGAACUGCAACCUAGGGCUGUUCUGCCUGUAAUUUUGGCUUGGGUCUCCACUAAGUAUGCUCUCCAUGUCCAUUUUGUAUUUGCCACUUUUACUUUUCCUCUACAUUGCCUCAUAACAAACACCUACGUUGUUGAAUGAUUGGUGCAGCUAACAGAGAUAUCUUCAUGUGUAUGCCGCUGAAAGUGGAAGGUAUUACAUCUUUUUGAUAUGAAGUGCCACACUGUUUUUAAAUGGUUUGAGACAUGUUGGUCAUUUUGUGUGUUACCUUUUCAUUUGGCCACUGGUGGAUGUGGCUGUUCUAAUGACAACUUGGUGUGGCAAGGAGUCUUGUUUUCUGCGGCACAACUUUUUUGGGCCUUUAUUAAGUCAUACUCUCACAGCCAAUACGUUAUUUUCCACAGUCUUUGUGAUGUGUAUGUAGGAAGCAUAUAAGAUUGCUUCCUAUGCAACUGUAGAUGAGGUUUUUGACUAAAUUAAACAUGUGAGCAUUAGACUUGAUUGCUUAUGCUAGAAUGGAUGGUCUUGGUUGAACUUGGUGAGCUUGGGCCAAUGUGCUCCCUGGAGUAUAAAGGUAUCUUGCCAGGGAAGGCUAGAAUGAGAUGAUGCUUGUGGUACUUCAGAUCUCCACCCGCACGGCAGCUUGUUUUUGAAUUGUUUUAGAGUGGUUACAGCUUCUCUGCUGCUCUGUUACCUCAAGAAGCACACUCCAUCUCCUUUAUCCUGUGGUUUACUUGCUUAGGUGAAGUAGACUAGCUCUACUGUACAUACAGCACUCAUGCUGGGUUCUCUUCCUUGUUACCCCUAAGUUUUAGUUUUGUUGUACACCUUUCUGCUGUCUUUACUGUAGGCAUCCACAGCAGCUUGUGGUCAAGUGGUUUUGAGGUUUAUGAUUUUGUUGCUCAGCUAAACAAAACUAUGGAGAAAAAAAAAUAGUCUGACGCAGGCAUCACUGCUGUUGGUAGAUACGAAUUCCACCCUAGGUUUUCUGCGCAUAAAGUCAGUGUGUCGGUUUACACAAAGUACACUUGUUUUCAUCACAUGGACUAUGGACAGUUUGUAAGAUGGACUAUGGACCAUCUCUUUUGUAAGGCUGACACAUUACCUGAACACUUGUAUUUAGGACCAUUUAAUAUGAUAGAUUUUUAAAAUAAGAGGUUAAAUUAACUGUGCAGUGGUGUAUAAAUUGAAAGUAAUGUAUUUUUUUUUCUUUUUUAAGUAUACCAAAUGUAAAUGAUGUACAAUAAUGUGUGCCAAUCCCCUUUCUUUCUAGAGCCAGACUCUUAACAAGUGCCAAUGUUGUGAAAAAUCAUAAAAAGGACCUAUGUAUUUCAUGGUCCACUUUUUUAAAACAAAUAAACACUAAGUAUGUGAUUAUGAUAAAUACAUGAAAAUGAACUAAAAAGGACAACUUUAUUCUGUAUUUAAGAUUAAUAAUGAACUGCUG
ensembl:lncRNA